GUGGGCUUUGUUGGCUCCUGUGGUUAGAAGCAGCCUCUAUGGUGCUGAAAACUCACCCUUCAGUUCCUGAAACAAUUCCAAUUCUGAGAAACAGGGAUGGAACCUUCCAUAAGGAUGACUUAAGUGCAGAAAGUUGAUUUGGUGUUUUAAAAGGACAGAUAUUAAUAUCCAGGGUUCUCUAAUGGGUGUGUCUGUUUCUCAGCAAAAGGUGUCUUACUCAAAGAAUCUUCAGUGUGUUCCUGCUUUCGCUGUUCUUUAGGUGCUUGUACAGGCUUGGCCAUACUUUGGAACAAUCACGGAAAAAACAUUUAAAGAAGUUCUUGAACCAAAAAUCAGAGCAAAGCAUGUACAUCUGAAAACAUGCACCUUUACCAAGAUCCACUUCGGCGAGAAGUGCCCUAGAAUUAAUGGAAUAAAAGCCUACA